CUAUGGAUUAUUUAAAAUGUUAUUUCAUUAGACCCUUGGGCACUAGUAUAUAUGGUCACUCUAGUUUUAAACUACAUCUCUUUAUUUGAUUGGCUAUGUGAUUCCUAACAGUUCUGUAAAGCACUUAAUUUACCAAAAUUGACUUCUUACCCCAGAAUCUCUAAUGUCUUGACCACUAGGAGUCUCCCUUCCCUUUCUUCCCUAUUAUUUUCUGUCCAUUGCCUGUUUUCCAGGGAAUUCUGUCUUGUUGAUCAGAGAAACAAGGACAAAACUGGGAAUUAAAGAUAGGGCUAAGCUACUGUUAUGCAAAGGAGAGGGAGAACUCUACCUGCAAGCUGUGUCUGUUCUCCAGUUGAUUUGCAGUGCCCUUAAAAGGGUUGAUAUCCUUUGCUACUUUCACUACAUCUUCUGGCAGUCCUGGAAUAGAGAAUAUUAAGAGAAAUCAUGGGCAAAUGUAAAAAAAACAAAUGCUGGAAACUUUUUGCAGUUGAAGUGUCUGGGAACAGCCCUCAGGAAAUUCUCGUAGUUCUCCUGAGCAUAAACAUUCCAGAUUCCAUUGAAGGCCAUGGUGACGCUUGAUGUGCAGACUGAGGCAAGGAAAUGGAAGUGACGGGAGUGAUAAGUGAUAUUGCCUGUGCAAAAGCAGCUUAUAUCUGACCAGAAAUGCUGUAGCGCCCAGUAUCUUCAGCACAGAUCUUCUCUAUGGUCAAAGUUACGAUUGUACCCUUCACAUCCAGUUUAUAGCGGUCUUUGAAAACCACCUUCUUCUCAUUCUUUACCCAGGAGACCUCAGGGGCAGGAUCUCCAGAUAUAUGACAUGUUAAACACAGGGUCUGGUAACAAGAGGAAAAAUUUAAAAGCAAUCUACAGGAAAGCAUUAAGACUCAUCAAGUACCUUGUCAAAGUCUGUGAAUGAAAGUACAUUCUAGGAAGGAAGAAACUCCAUAGAAUAUAAUUGACUACAAACUGUACAGAGCUACAGAUGAGCUGCUCUAUAUAGGCAAAUCUAGACAUACUUAGACCCCAUCAUCUCAUAGCUGUCAUACUGUACAUAAAAUAUAUAUGCUACAGAAUACAAUUAUCUUUUCUAAUUAUAAUAUGGACCACAUGCACCAUUUUUCUAAAGCAUGUUACAUGACUUUUAUUGCAUUUUAUUUAAAUAUAAUAGUUUUAUUAGAAAAAUACAUUAAAGGGGUUGUCCAGGAAAAGAAAAACAGCUGAGUUAUUUUAAGAACCAAUCCCUGUCUGUCUC